UAGGGAAUCUUCCACAAUGGACGAAAGUCUGAUGGAGCAACGCCGCGUGAGUGAAGAAGGGUUUCGGCUCGUAAAGCUCUGUUGGUAGUGAAGAAAGAUAGAGGUAGUAACUGGCCUUUAUUUGACGGUAAUUACUUA
rnacentral:rRNA from 1 species